rnacentral:rRNA from 1 species
UACAGGGGGGGCAAGCGUUGUUCGGAAUUACUGGGCGUAAAGGGCUCGUAGGCGGCCAACUAAGUCACACGUGAAAUCCCCAGGCUUAACCUGGGAACUGCGUGUGAUACUGGAUGGCUUGAAUCCGGGAGAGGGAUGCAGAAUUCCAGGUGUAGCGGUGAAAUGCGUAGAUAUCUGGAGGAAUACCGGUGGCGAAGGCGGCAUCCUGGACCGGUAUUGACGCUGAGGCGCGAAAGCCAGGGGAGCAAACGGG